AAUGAACGUUGGCGGCAUGGAUUAGGCAUGCAAGUCGGGGGAAUCCCAGCAAUGGGGGAACCGGCGUAAGGGGCAGUAAGGCAUGGGUACCUACCUUGGGGUUCGGGAUAGCCAUCAGAGAUGGUGGGUAAUACCGGAUGACGUCGUGAGACCAAAGAUUCAUCGCCCUUAGAGGGGCCCAUGUGAUAUUAGCUAGUUGGUGGGGUAACGGCCCACCAAGGCGAAGAUGUCUAGCGGGUGUGAGAGCACGACCCGCGCCACUCGCACUGAGACACUGGCGAGACACCUACGGGUGGCUGCAGUCGAGGAUCUUCGGCAAUGAGCGCAAGCUUGACCGAGCGAUGCCGCGUGAGCGAUGAAGGCCUUCGGGUUGUAAAACUCUUUAGUGGGGGAGAAAGGCCGCAAGGUGUGAUCUAUCCCAAAAAUAAGCACGGGCUAAGUUCGUGCCAGCAGCCGCCAUAA
rnacentral:rRNA from 1 species